AAGUCGUAACAAGGUAUCCGUAGGUGAACCUGCGGAUGGAUCAUUACCAAAGAUUAUUUCGGGAGUCCUGUGAACCGUUCGUUAGCAGUCACAGUCGUCGCUUGUUCUCGAAACGGGACUGUGGCCGCUCAGACCAAAACGUAUACCAAAAACUAGAGUCAUUUAGCCAAAAAACUAAAGACAACUUUUAGCAACGGAUCUCUUGGCUCUC
rnacentral:misc_RNA from 1 species